rnacentral:rRNA from 1 species
ACUCCUACGGGAGGCAGCAGUGGGGAAUUUUGGACAAUGGGCGAAAGCCUGAUCCAGCAAUGCCGCGUGAGUGAAGAAGGCAUUCGGGUUGUAAAGCUCUUUUGUCAGGGAAGAAACGGUGAAAGCUAAUAUCUUUUGCUAAUGACGGUACCUGAAGAAUAAGCACCGGCUAACUACGUGCCAGCAGCCGCGGUAAUACGUAGGGUGCAAGCGUUAAUCGGAAUUACUGGGCGUAAAGCGUGCGCAGGCGGUUUUGUAAGUCUGAUGUGAAAUCCCCGGGCUCAACCUGGGAAUUGCAUUGGAGACUGCAAGGCUAGAAUCUGGCAGAGGGGGGUAGAAUUCCACGUGUAGCAGUGAAAUGCGUAGAUAUGUGGAGGAACACCGAUGGCGAAGGCAGCCCCCUGGGUCAAGAUUGACGCUCAUGCACGAAAGCGUGGGGAGCAAACAGGAUUAGAAACCCUGGUAGUCCCAUGA